rnacentral:piRNA from 2 species
UAAACAUUUUGAUCUUCUGUUUGUUU